rnacentral:rRNA from 1 species
UACGUAGGGGGCAAGCGUUGUCCGGAUUUAUUGGGCGUAAAGAGCGUGUAGGCGGCUUUGCAAGUCCGUUGUGAAAACUCGAGCUCAACCUCGAGACGCCGGUGGAAACUGCAAAGCUAGAGUCCGGAAGAGGAGAGUGGAAUUCCUGGUGUAGCGGUGAAAUGCGCAGAUAUCAGGAAGAACACCCGUGGCGAAGGCGGCUCUCUGGGAACGGUACUGACGGCUGAGACGCGAAAGCGUGGGGAGCGAACAGGAUUAAGAACCCUGG